CAGUCGCCGCGGUAAUACAGAGGGUGCGAGCGUUAAUCGGAUUUACUGGGCGUAAAGCGUGCGUAGGCGGCUUUUUAAGUCGGAUGUGAAAUCCCUGAGCUUAACUUAGGAAUUGCAUUCGAUACUGGGAAGCUAGAGUAUGGGAGAGGAUGGUAGAAUUCCAGGUGUAGCGGUGAAAUGCGUAGAGAUCGGAAGGAACAUCUGUGGCGAAGGCGACUAUCUGGGCCAACACUGACACUGAGGCACGAAAGCGUGGGGAGCAAACAGGAUUAGAUACCCCUGUAGUCCCUGUCUCUUAUAC
rnacentral:rRNA from 1 species